rnacentral:rRNA from 1 species
AGUGAACGCCGGCGGUAGGCCUAACACAUGCAAGUCGAACGGCAGCACAGUAAGAGCUUGCUCUUACGGGUGGCGAGUGGCGGACGGGUGAGGAAUACAUCGGAAUCUACUUUUUCGUGGGGGAUAACGUAGGGAAACUUACGCUAAUACCGCAUACGACCUACGGGUGAAAGCAGGGGAUCUUCGGACCUUGCGCGAUUGAAUGAGCCGAUGUCGGAUUAGCUAGUUGGCGGGGUAAAGGCCCACCAAGGCGACGAUCCGUAGCUGGUCUGAGAGGGUGAUCAGCCACACUGGAACUGAGACACGGUCCAGACUCCUACGGGAGGAAGCAGUGGGGAAUAUUAGACAAUGGGCGAAAGCCUGAUCCAGCCAUACCGCGUGGGUGAAGAAGGACUUCGGGUUGUAAAGCCCUUUUGUUGGGAAAGAAAAGCAGCAGGUUAAUACCCCGCUGUUCUGACGGUACCCAAAGAAUAAGCACCGGCUAACUUCGUG